rnacentral:sRNA from 2 species
CCGGCUGUCUUUGGGGAGUAGCCGGCUUUCGCGACAGCGGAAGCGUUCAUGUCAACACGCUCGGUCGUAGACCGUGGCAUGAACCGCCUUCGGGUUGGCAAGACCAUCGACAUGUCAGCGCGGCCCGCCGGGCGCGCGGCAUGUCGUACGUCCACGCCCGGCUCGCACGC